AACCAUAGAAACCUGCGGAGUACCUGCGGAGGGAUCAUUACAGAGUUGCAAAACUCCCUAAACCUUUGUGAACGUUACCUAAACCGUUGCUUCGGCGGGCGGCCCGGGUCCUUCCCGGCGCCCCUCGGCCCUCGCGGGCGCCCGCCGGAGGUAAACCAAACUAUUGCAUUGUAUGGCCUCUCUGAGUCUUCUGUACUGAAUAAGUCAAAACUUUCAACAACGGAUCUCAGAUCGGAAGAG
rnacentral:misc_RNA from 1 species